rnacentral:tRNA from 1 species
GGGGAGAUGGCUCUGUCAGUAAAGUGUUUGCCUUGCAAGCAUAAGGUCCUGAGUUCAAUCCCAGUACCCACA